GGUAGGGAUAACAAUCUGAUGUGGAAUUGUCCAUGAAAUUGGUUUGAAAGAAAACAGGGCUGAGCGUUAGAAAUGGAAGUAGACUGAACGUAACUGAAAAUCCAGGGAAUGUGAUCUUUGACCAGGGAAAGGA